rnacentral:tRNA from 4 species
GGGGGCGUGGCGGAAUCGGCAGACGCACCGGACUUAAAAUCCGGGUCCUGAGAAGGAGUGUGGGUUCGAGUCCCACCGCCCCUA